GACGAACGCUGGCGGCGCGCUUAACACAUGCAAGUCGAGCGAGAACCUAGGCUUCGGCCUAGGGGACAGCGGCGAACGGGUGAGUAACACGUGGGUAAUCUGCCCUCGACAUCGGGAUAGCCCGGGGAAACCCGGAUUAAUACCGAAUGGCCCAUCCGCUUUUCGGAGCGGCUGGAAAAGGUAGCUUCGGCCUCCGGUCGAGGAGGAGCCCGCGGCGGAUUAGCUUGUUGGUGAGGUAAUGGCCCACCAAGGCGACGAUCCGUAGCUGGUCUGAGAGGACGAUCAGCCACACUGGGACUGAGACACGGCCCAGACUCCUACGGGAGGCAGCAGUGGGGAAUCUUGCGCAAUGGGCGAAAGCCUGACGCAGCGACGCCGCGUGCGGGAAGAAGGCCU
rnacentral:rRNA from 1 species